rnacentral:rRNA from 1 species
CACGUAGGGCGCAAGCGUUGUCCGGAAUUAUUGGGCGUAAAGAGCUCGUAGGCGGUCUGUUGCGUCCGCUGUGAAAACCCGGGGCUUAACCCUGGGCUGGCAGUGGAUACGGACAGACUAGAGGUAGGUAGGGGAGAAUGGAAUUCCCGGUGUAGCGGUGAAAUGCGUAGAUAUUGGGAGGAACACCAGUGGCGAAGGCGGCUCACUGGACCGGUUCUGACGCUGAGGCGCGAAAGCGUGGGGAGCAAACGGG